AGAGUUUGAUCAUGGCUCAGAUUGAACGCUGGCGGCAGGCUUAACACAUGCAAGUCGAGCGGGGAAGAGUAGCUUGCUACUUUACCUAGCGGCGGACGGGUGAGUAAUGCUUAGGAAUCUACCUAGUAGUGGGGGAUAGCUCGGGGAAACUCGAAUUAAUACCGCAUACGUCCUACGGGAGAAAGCAGGGGAUCUUCGGGCCUUGCGCUAAUAGAUGAGCCUAAGUCGGAUUAGCUAGUUGGUGGGGUAAAGGCCUACCAUGGCGACGAUCUGUAGCUGGUCUGAGAGGAUGAUCAGCCACACCGGGACUGAGACACGGCCCGGACUCCUACGGGAGGCAGCAGUGGGGAAUAUUGGACAAUGGGGGCAACCCUGAUCCAGCCAUGCCGCGUGUGUGAAGAAGGCCUUUUGGUUGUAAAGCACUUUAAGCAGUGAAGAAGACUCCAUGGUUAAUACCCAUGGACGAUGACAUUAGCUGCAGAAUAAGCACCGGCUAACUCUGUGCCAGCAGCCGCGGUAAUACAGAGGGUGCAAGCGUUAAUCGGAAUUACUGGGCGUAAAGCGAGCGUAGGUGGCUUGAUAAGUCAGAUGUGAAAGCCCCGGGCUUAACCCUGGGAACGGCAUCUGAUACUGUUAGGCUAGAGUAGGUGAGAGGAAGGUAGAAUUCCAGGUGUAGCGGUGAAAUGCGUAGAGAUCUGGAGGAAUACCGAUGGCGAAGGCAGCCUUCUGGCAUCAUACUGACACUGAGGUUCGAAAGCGUGGGUAGCAAACAGGAUUAGAUACCCUGGUAGUCCACGCCGUAAACGAUGUCUACUAGUCGUUGGGUCCCUUGAGGACUUAGUGACGCAGCUAACGCAAUAAGUAGACCGCCUGGGGAGUACGGCCGCAAGGUUAAAACUCAAAUGAAUUGACGGGGGCCCGCACAAGCGGUGGAGCAUGUGGUUUAAUUCGAUGCAACGCGAAGAACCUUACCUGGUCUUGACAUAUCUAGAAUCCUGCAGAGAUGCGGGAGUGCCUUCGGGAAUUAGAAUACAGGUGCUGCAUGGCUGUCGUCAGCUCGUGUCGUGAGAUGUUGGGUUAAGUCCCGCAACGAGCGCAACCCUUGUCCUUAGUUACCAGCGGUUUGGCCGGGAACUCUAAGGAUACUGCCAGUGACAAACUGGAGGAAGGCGGGGACGACGUCAAGUCAUCAUGGCCCUU
rnacentral:rRNA from 1 species